AGAGACACUAAUCACUUUGCUUUCUCCGUCGCACGCCGCCGGCCGCCUUCUCUGGAGCAGGGCGCACGCUGCCGGCUGCCUUCUUUCGAGCAGGGCGCAUCCUCUCCCGCCACGACAUCUUCUGGCGCCCCCCUCCCCGCACCACCACCACCACCACGGCCUCGCCCUGUCUCCUAUCCAUGCGAGGGCCUUGCCUCGCCGGCUCUUAUCCCCACCACGGCCUCGCCCCGCCGCCUCUUCUCACCACCGCGGACUUGCCUCGCAGCCAACCCUGCGGAUCUUCCCUAGAUCGACUCUGCCGCCGCCAUCAUACUGCCACAGAGCAGAUCAAGAUGCAAGCUGCUGGACAUGAUGCAGGAGCAGGCAUCUUGAAUUGGACCGAGAUCCAGUGCGUCGACCUCACACAGUCGCUCCGGGAAGGAGCUCGCAGCUCGGUUGCUGAAGGCACCUUCACCACAUUGUCAUUCAUUUGUGAGAUGUUUCCGUUUCUCUAUGUUGGCAUGGAUGCACUGGAUAUAGAGUAGUGGAAGAUUGUUAGUGGAACACAUGUACAGGCAACUGCGAGGACUACCAACAGGCAUACCUGCUACGUGUUGGUGAUGAGCAAGCUAGCCAAGGGGUAGCACAGUGAAUCGAUGAAGAAGCUGGAAUCCGAAUAGGAGGCAUAUUUUCAACUGGUUUGACGCAUGUUGGAGGAGGUCGUCACAAAUUAGAAUGUUGUGACCAGCUUUUACUUACAUGAGAAUCUCGAUCAUCUCCAAACUUCGCAGAAGUGGAACGAUUCAUGGUUGUACGUUUCCAUAUGGAGAGCAACACCAAUUCUCCUAUUUGUUUUACCUGGAUGGUUGUAUUAAUGUACUAUCAAACCAUGGAAUAGUAUCAAGGAUGCAGAGGCAUGGUGAGUAGAAGCGGAUUGUCGAUGUACCAUUCUGGUCGUCGUUGUUGCCCGAUCAUGGAGGUCGCACCCGCCGGAUGUGCUUGCAACUGCUGAAUAGAACCGUUCUCGUGGGUGUGGCUGGUGUCCAUGCCUAUUCAACACACACCAACACUCGCCACGGUAUUGCCCGUGUCCUGCAGGCUAAGCAGGUCCAUGAGCGCCUGCACCCACCUCUUCUUCUUCAAGUGGUGAUUUGACUGUAGACCAUGCAACAUCAAGUAGUAUGUGAGUUAUCGAAUACAAAAAGGAUGCCUGAACUACAAAUCAUCAAAAAUCAAAAUCUAAGGACCAACAUGUUCAGAAGCUAUGGAAAAAUGUUCUUCACCAAAAUUUUACUGCAGCUUAUUCCUUUUCUUUUCUUUUCCUUCACAAACCUGCACAAUU